rnacentral:rRNA from 1 species
CCAUGUGACAUACCUACUGUUGCUUCGGCGGGAUUGCCCCGGGCGCCUCGUGUGCCCCGGAUCAGGCGCCCGCCUAGGAAACUUAAUUCUUGUUUUAUUUUGGAAUCUUCUGAGUAGUUUUUACAAAUAAAUAAAAACUUUCAACAACGGAUCUCUUGGUUCUGGCAUCGAUGAAGAACGCAGCGAAAUGCGAUAAGUAAUGUGAAUUGCAGAAUUCAGUGAAUCAUCGAAUCUUUGAACGCACAUUGCGCCCGCCAGUAUUCUGGCGGGCAUGCCUGUCUGAGCGUCAUUUCAACCCUCAUGCCCCUAGGGCGUGGUGUUGGGGAUCGGCCAAAGCCCGCGAGGGACGGCCGGCCCCUAAAUCUAGUGGCGGACCCGUCGUGGCCUCCUCUGCGAAGUAGUGAUAUUCCGCAUCGGAGAGCGACGAGCCCCUGCCGUUAAACCCCCAACUUUCCAAGGUUGACCUCAGAUCAGGUAGGAAUACCCGCUGAACUUAAGCAUAUCAAUAAGCGGAGGAAAAGAAACCCUGC